rnacentral:rRNA from 1 species
AUUGAACGCUGGCGGCAGGCCUAACACAUGCAAGUCGAGCGGUAGCACAGGAGAGCUUGCUCUCUGGGUGACGAGCGGCGGACGGGUGAGUAAUGUCUGGGAAACUGCCUGAUGGAGGGGGAUAACUACUGGAAACGGUAGCUAAUACCGCAUAACGUCGCAAGACCAAAGAGGGGGAUCUACGGGCCUCUUGCCAUCAGAUGUGCCCAGAUGGGAUUAGCUAGUAGGGGGGGUAACGGCUCACCUAGGCGACGAUCCCUAGCUGGUCUGGGAGGAUGACCAGCCACACUGGAACUGAGACACGGGCCAGACUCCUACGGGAGGCAGCAGUGGGGAAUAUUGCACAAUGGGCGCAAGCCUGAUGCAGCCAUGCCGCGUGUAUGAAGAAGGCCUUCGGGUUGUAAAGUACUUUCAGCGGGGAGGAAGGUGCUGAGGUUAAUAACCUCAGCAAUUGACGUUACCCGCAGAAGAAGCACCGGCUAACUCCGUGCCAGCAGCCGCGGUAA